GCCUAUGCUUUGUAGUGGUUUAAGCAUCAGACUAUGACUCUAGAAAUCAGGGUUCGAUUCCCUGCAUGAGCA